GCCUGCUGCUCUUCUAUAUCGAAUCUUGGUCUGUUUUUUCUUUUAUCGUGAAAACAACGUAACUGGGCUUUUUUUCCCUGCUUAACUUUUUUUUCAUAACUCAGCUAGAAUUCACCUUGUGAUAUGAAGAAAUAGAUAUCAUUGCUUUUCCCUCGAGUAUUAUACAGGAUAUUCUUCAUUAUUUUGGAGGACAAAGAAGAUAAAAGAAAAUGCAUAUGAAUAUCAAUGAAAUGGAAAAUAAUUCUAAGCAGUAAUUUUCAAUGGUAAUUGAUCUUAACUGUGUGGACUACAGACUCCAGAGAGGGAAGUCAGCCCAGAACACUGUAUGGCUUCAGACACCACAUAUCCUGGACGUUCAGAUAACCACUUUUUGGGGCUUGCAAACUAAGGUCAGAGAACUCACUGGGCAAGAUGAAGGUUUCGCGGACGUCUCCCCUGGCAGAGAGAAAAGGACUAGUGAUUGUAAACGGACCUUGGGCUGAACUCAGAACAUCGUGUAGACGAGGGCAUUGGUUUCAACCUUGACUGAGCUUCUGUGACAUUUGUGGAACCACACUCAGACCUACUGCCUCAAAUUUUUUGAGUGGUGGCCUAGAUGGCAGUAUUGCAAGGAAAUUCCACAGAGGAUUCUGUAAAGUAAUGAAUUCAGUACUCAAAAACAGCUUUUAAAUUGAGUUAAAGAUUUUUGUUGCAAAAAUAAAGUAAAAUAAAAGGGAUUAUACAAACAG
rnacentral:lncRNA from 1 species